CCGGUGCCAGCCGCCGCGGUAACACCGGCGCCACUAGUGGCAAUCCUUUUUAUUGGGCUUAAAGCGUCCGUAGCUGGUUUGGUAAAUUUCUUGUGAAAUUGUGGGGCUCAACCUUACAGCGCGCAAGAAAGACUGCUGAACUUGGAACCGGGAGGGGGUAGGAGUAUUCUUCGGGGAGCGGUAAAAUGUGAUAAUCCUUAGAGGACUACCUGUGGCGAAGGCGCCUACCUAGAACGGGUUCGACAGUGAGGGACGAAGGCUGAGGGAGCGAUCUGGAUUAGAUACCCAAGUAGUCUCAGCUGUAAACGCUGCGAGCUAUGUGUUGCAUAUUCUUCGAGGAUAUGCAGUGCCUGAGCGAAAGUGUUAAGCUCGCCGCCUGGGAAGUACGGCCGCAAGACUGAAACUUAAAG
rnacentral:rRNA from 1 species